rnacentral:rRNA from 1 species
GACGAACGCUGGUGGCGUGCUUAACACAUGCAAGUCGAACGGGAUUUAGUAAACAGAAGCCUCGGUGGAAGAUUACUAAUGAGAGUGGCGAACGGGUGAGUAACGCGUGAGCAACCUGCCUAUGACAGUGGGAUAGCCUCGGGAAACCGGGAUUAAUACCGCAUAAAAUCGUAGAAACACAUGUUUUAACGGUCAAAGAUUUAUCGGUCAUAGAUGGGCUCGCGUCUGAUUAGCUAGUUGGUGAGAUAACAGCCCACCAAGGCGACGAUCAGUAGCCGGUCUGAGAGGAUGAACGGCCACAUUGGAACUGAGACACGGUCCAAACUCCUACGGGAAGCAGCAGUGGGGAAUAUUGCACAAUGGGGGAAACCCUGAUGCAGCGACGCCGCGUGAACGAAGAGGGUAUUCGUAUCGUAAAGUUCUGUCCUAUGGGAAGAUAAUGACAGUACCAUAGAAGAAAGCUCCGGCUAAAUACGUG